rnacentral:rRNA from 1 species
UCUUUCUUUGCUGGCGACCGGCGCACGGGUGAGUAACACGUAUCCAACCUGCCCUUUACUCGGGGAUAGCCUUUCGAAAGAAAGAUUAAUACCCGAUAGUAUAAUGAUUCCGCAUGGUUUCAUUAUUAAAGGAUUCCGGUAAAGGGAUGGGGAUGCGUUCCAUUAGGUUGUUGGUGAGGUAACGGCUCACCAAGCCUUCGAUGGAUAGGGGUUCUGAGAGGAAGGUCCCCCACAUUGGAACUGAGACACGGUCCAA